rnacentral:rRNA from 1 species
GCAUAAUAAAUAGUUUUUUAAUUGGGAACUGGUAUGAAGGGUAGAAACUUAAGGGAUUGUUUUAUCUAAUAAAUUUGAAUUUAAAUUAAGGGUGAAAAUGCCUUUGUGAAUCUUUGGGACGAGAAGACCCUAGAAGCUUAAGUAAUAAUUUAAAGGGGAACUUUUUUUAUUGGGGCAAUAAUUGAAGAGAAUAAUCUUUGAAAAUUAAAAAUUAAGUCGAUAAGAAGUUACUCUAGGGAUAACAGCGUUAUCUAGUUGGUGAGUUCUUAUUAAUGAUUGGGUUUGCGACCUCGAUGUUGAAUUAAAU